AACCUAGCACACCUGCGGUGUGUACCUGCGGAAGGAUCAUUACCGAGUUUACAACUCCCAAACCCCUGUGAACAUACCUAUACGUUGCCUCGGCGGAUCAGCCCGCGCCCUGUAAAACGGGACGGCCCGCCCGAGGACCCUAAACUCUGUUUUUAGUGGAACUUCUGAGUAAAACAAACAAAUAAAUCAAAACUUUUAACAAUGGAUCU
rnacentral:misc_RNA from 1 species